rnacentral:misc_RNA from 1 species
CAAGCGUAUUGCUAGCCAUAUUGUCAGGGUCCAUGCAUCUGCUGAAGCAUCUAGGGAUGACACGAAAACUUCUAAGGAGUAUAAUUGGCUGAAAAGAUAUAUACAAUAUUGUAAGACCAAUUGCCAUCCGCGACUAUCAGAUUCUGCAGCCUCAAUGUUACAAGAAAGUUAUGUCAAAAUUAGGCAGGAUAUGAGGCGGCAAUCAAAUGAAACUGGAGAGGCAGCAGCAAUACCAAUUACUGUGCGGCAACUAGAGGCCAUAGUGAGGUUGAGUGAAGCUCUGGCAAGAAUGAGACUCUCCCAAGUUGCAAAUGAAGAUCACGUUUCAGAAGCAAUUAGGCUCUUCAACACUUCUACAAUGGAUGCAGCACGAUCUGGAAUCAAUCAACACAUAAACCUUACUCCUGAGAUGGCAAAUGAGAUAAAGCAAGCCGAAACCCAAAUUAAGAGAAGAAUGGGUAUUGGUAGCCAUAUAUCAGAGAGACGACUAGUUGAUGAACUGACCAGGAUGGGCAUGAAUGAAUCAAUU